rnacentral:lncRNA from 1 species
CACAAAGACAAGGGUCUGUCCAGGCCUCUCUCCCAGCUUCUGGGAGUUCCUUGGCUUGUGGCAGCAUAACUCCAGUCUUCAUGUGGCAUUUUUCUCCCUGUGUGCAUCUCUAAAUGUUCCCUUUUUCUAAAUACACCAGUCCAUUGGAUUAGGGGCCCACCCUACUCCAGUGUGACCUCAUCUUAGCUAACCACAUCUGCAACAACCCUCUUUCCAUAUAAGGCCACAUUCUGAGGUACUGUUGCUUAGGACUUCAACAAAGGAAUUUUAGAGAGGAAACACUUCAACCCAUAACAGGUAUUCUUUGAAAAAUGGCUUGGGUUUUUUUGAGACGGAGUUUUGCUCUUGUCCCCCAGGCUGGAGUGCAAUGGCGUGAUCUCGGCUCACUGCAGCCUCCGCCUCCCAGGUUCAGGCGAUUCUCCUGCCUCAGCCUCCAAGUAGCUGGGACUACAGGCGCGUGCCACCACGCCCGGCUAAUUUUUGUAUUUUUAGUAGAGACAGGGUUUCACCAUAUUGGUCAGGCUGGUCUUGAACUCCUGACCUCGUGAUCUGCCCGCCUUGGCCUCCCAAAGUACUGGGAUUACAGGCGUGAGCCACCGUGCCCAACCAUGAAAUAUUUUUACUUAAAAAUUGGGAAUAAGCUCGCUUUUUUUUUUUUUGAGAUGGAGUCUUGCUCCUGUUGUGCAGGCUGUAGUGCAGUGGCACGAUCUUGGCUCACUGCAACCUCCACCUCCCGGGUUCAAGCAAUUCUCCUUCUUCAGCCUCCCGAGUAGCUGAGAUUAUAGGCGUGCACCACCACACCUGGCUAAUUUUUGUAUUUUUAGUAGAGACAGGGUUUCACCAUAUUGGUCAGGCUGGUCUUGAACUCCUGACCUCGUGAUCCACCCACCUCAGGAAGUGCUGGGAUUACAGGCGUGUGAGCCACCACGCCCGGCCAUGAAAUAUUUUUACUUAAAAAUUGGGAAUAAGCUUUUUGGUUUUUUGUGGGUUUUUGUUUUUGUUUUUUGUUUUUUGUUUUUUUGAGAUGGAGUCUUGCUCCUGUUGUGCAGGCUGGAGUGCAGUGGCACAGUCUUGGCUCACUGCAACCUCCACCUCCUGGGUUCAAGCAAUUCUCCUUCUUCAGCCUCCCGAGUAGCUGGGAUUACAGGCAUGCACCACCACACCUGGCUAAUUUUUGUGUUUUUAGUAGAGACGGGGUUUCGCUAUUUUGGCCGGGCUGGUUUCAAACUCCUGACCUCAGUUGAUCCACCCGCCUCAGCCUCCCAAAGUGCUAGGAUUACAGGCAUGAACCACCGUGCCCGGCCAGGAAUAAGCUUUUGACUUACCCAAUUCAGAUAGGUUGAUCUUUGGGGUUUUUUUUUUUUUUUUGAGAUGGAGUUUCGCUCUGUUGUCCAGGCUGGAGUGCAAUGGCAGUUGUUUCACCGUAACCUCUGCCUCCUGACUUCAAGCAAUUCUCCUGCCUCAGCCUCCCAAAGUGCUGGGAUUACAGGUGUGAGCCACCGUGCCCGGCCCAGAUAGGUUGAUCUUAAUGUAACAACCCAAAAAUAAAUGUCAUAGUCAAGAUUUGGUAGAUAAAUUUAAAAUUAAAAUAUUCUGCAGUUGGGAGUGAAAUGUGAUAGCACAUACGUUGACAUUAUGCAUUUAGAGAUGUUAUAAAAAUGUAUAGGCAGUAUACACAGCACUACUCAAGAAGCCAAAGAAACACUUGUGCAGUGCUAAGUGUCACAUGUCUGCUUCCACCAGAGGCUAGGAAUAGUGAUCCUGCUAUAAUGUGAGAACCCAAAUCAUGUUUAUAAAAUAGGACGCUGGGAGCAGUUGCAGGCCACAGUGAAGUGUGUUGCUUCUGUCACUUUAUAUUCUUAUAUUUCCUUUCCCUCAGACAGUAAACUGUUGAUACUCGUACUUGUAAAAAAUUGUAAGGCAAUUUUUAGUAUUGUUGUCAAAGAAAAGCUUGGAUUACAUUAACAUUUGUAUUCAGUCUUUUAGGUGAUACACCAGAGGGGGCUGGGAAUUGUCUCUUUGUUCCUAUAAGUAGAUCUUAAUGUAAAAUAGUAAAUGUCCAUUGAAAAGCAAGUAAUACAGCCUGUGCUAAUUGGGAGCACUUGAACAAUUUUGUUCCAUUCUGAGUAACUUUUGAGCAAGUAAUUCUAAGCUUUGUCUUGUAUCCUUGUGUGAAAUUGCAUAAUUUUUACCCUAUUUGAUUUCUUAAAUAAAGAUGUUUGCUCAAGAUCGUGGUAGUUUAAUAUCCAUUUUUAAAGUGCUGCUUUCGUCCUAUUUCUCCUAUUGAUAGUCUAGUCUGCAAACUAAUAUGAUGUCUUCACCUGUUAUAGAGCUCAGAUUGACUCAAACUAGAUGCCAGAGCUUUGGGAGCAGAAAAAUUUACAUACUCAUCUAGAAAUCUAGGAGUAAUUUCAGCAAACGUGUAUUUUUUUGUAUAUAGUUGGCCCCUCCCUCAAUGAGCAUAUCAUCCAGAGGGCUGUGAUGCAGGGCAGCCAAGAGCAGCAGGGUGAUUGAUUGAGAGCAGGAAGACUUGGCUCAGCUGCACAACAGUGGUACCCUGAAAAUAGCCUUUUCUCCAGGCUGGUGAAGGUGAGGUAGGCACUAGUAACACACUUGUGAGUAUAUUACUAAAGUUAAAUGCCAAAUUUCAUGU